GUUGUUUUGGCAGAGUAGUGCAAUAGAUUUAGAAUCUUUAUAUGUAAAUUAAUUUACAAAUAAUA
rnacentral:tRNA from 1 species